UGGUAUAAUUCCUCUUUUACCUUUAUUUUACUUAUGCUCUGACAUCAUAUGUGAAAUAGGUUCUGUUUGCACUCAAAAUAUACCCAUUUUUACUUAUUUGGGCAAUUUGGGUAAAAUAUGGUAUUUAAAGGAUUAAUGAGCAAGAAGACUAAUCUGGAGAGAUAUUUGGUGCAAGUGGGAUAUGUUUUACACUAUAAUAUUGUUUCUCCUAUUUGUUUGGGUGGUGGAGGUUUGUCUAGCCUUUGUUUAAUCAAGAUACAUGCAUGUAUUGCAAGUAGAUGGAAAGGCAUCAGCAAGCUUUCGGGCAAGGAACAUGUGAAAGAAGCCAACUUGCUUCUUUUUAAUGUUAGUUUAUUACAAGUGGGAAAACAUGUGAUGAAAGCAUGUGGUGGAAAUGCAAGUUCCCCUUUUAAUAUUAUUUCUCCAUGCAAGUUGGCAAGUGAAAUACAAGUUGCCCAAGCAAUGGAAUACAAGCUGCCCAAGCUUCUUUCGGGCAAGUACAAAAACCUCAGCAGGGGGUUUCUUCCAGACCUCUAUAUAAAGAAACAGAUGGAGAAGGAUUAUGGACACUCAAACAAACAAACAAAUACACAAACUCUGCUCAAAGCCAGAUUUGCCUUCAAAACGAAGCUGUAGUCAGCCCAAGCCUUCAUCCCUUUUUGGAUAAACCCUUUGUAAUAGCUUUGCUACCUUGCUCAACGCCUGCUGUAGUAUCGAUUUUCUUUCUACAAACUCAUUUCCCUACCCCUUUUCUAAGCCUUCAAACCUUCUGUUAACCCACAAAGAUAGGAAGUUAUAAGACGAUCAGCCUUGCCCGACGAGCCUUGCCCGACGAGCCUUGCCCGAGCCUUGCCCGACAGGCUUUGCUCGACAAACCCGCCAGUAAAGCAGAAGCCCGACAGAAAGCAUCAACCGGCGCCAACCUCUCGGGGAGCUGUGUGCUCGUCGGCCAGGAAGCAUUCCCCACGGAAAUUCCCACCACGAACAUAUUUUGGCACGCCCGGUGGGAUACUUAUAUGAAGUUAGAUCAUGAACAAUCCUUAUGUUCAUGAUUUUUCUGCUUUUUUGGAGGAUGACGGUGUGGAAGAGCGCCCAAGCUAUGGCUAUCACAUAUAGCCAACCUAUGAGUUGCCAACUUAUGGGUACAUGGCUGAAGAGUACUCAAGUCCCAUGGAAUAUGAUUGUUGGCCAACUCAUGGCCAUCAAAUAAAUAAUAAUCUUGAAGAUUGGCCAACUUAGGGCUAUGAUGAAGGUUAUUAUUCUUUUGAAGACAAUCGCAUUCAUGAAUACUAUGAUAGGCUAACAAAUGGCUUUGAGUAUCAAAAUGCUUCCAAUGAGUACAUAGAGCCAAUAUAUGAGAUGCCAACUCAUGAUCAUCCGGAUGAAAAGCUCUACAAAGAGGAUAUGGGCAAAUUGGAGAAGGUGUCCAAACUCCAUAUGGCAAGCAUCGAAUAUGGUGAAGAGGUAACUAAGUGUUUUAAAAGGGUGGAGGAAAGCUAUACAACUUUUGGAGAAACUUUGAGAAAGUUGAUAGAUCAAAUGUGUCAAAUCCCCUCUACAAAGCACACUCACCCUACUACAACCAAGGAAGAACAAAUCAUACAUAUUGAUGAAGGCCAAACAAUGGCCCCACCCAAUGAAAAAUCCAUGAAAAUGGAUAUGGUUGUAGGAGACCAAGCUAAGAUGGAGAUGAUGGCUAGUAUAGGCCAAACACCAACGCUCGGGGGGCACGAGCCCACACCUCAUGUGGAGCCCGAAGAAGAAGAAAAUAGCUCCUACACUCUUCCCCGCCAACACAAGCAUGUUGUCCUCAUCGAGAUCUCAAGGAGGACAAAGCUUGGGAUCAAACAUGAAUGGCCACCUCCUAUGGUUCCCAAGCUACAUAGCAUGGCCAAUUUAAAUGAUGGGUUUGAUCUCUCUACACUCAAUUUUAAAAAGAGAAAAAGAUUUGAGUGUUAAGAGAAAAAUAACAUAUGGGCAAUGAAGGAGUUUCAUCCAAUAUGCCCGAAUAAGGCUCGUUUUUGUUUCUCCCUCUUUCCUUUUCCAAUUUAUUUCUCUCAUUCCCUUCAUUUUCUAAAAAACUCCACUCUGCCCGAAAGGGCUUUAUAUAUAUAUUUAUAUAUUAUUUAUAAAGAUCUUUGCCCGUGUGGGCUAAUUUUUUUAUUUAUAUAUAUCUAUAUAUCUAUAUAUUUAUUAUUAUAUUAUGUUAUAGUGUAUUAUAUUAUAUUAUAUUAUGUUCUUUGCCCGAAAGGGCUUUAUAUAUAUAUAUAAUAUAUAUAUAUAUAUAUAUAUAUAUAUAUAUAUAUAUAUAUAUAUAUCUGGUUUGCUUUUUAAUUUGCCCGAAUGGGCUUUUUGCUGUUUUAAGCUGCCCGAAAGGGCUCUUCCUUUUCUUUUUCUAUUAUUUCUCUCUCUUUCUUUUUCUCUCUUUCUCUUUCUCCUUGUCAGUAUUGUCUCAUUGUCUUUCUUUCUUUCUUUCUUUCUUUCUUUCUUUUUACUUUUUUAUUAUUUCUUUCUCUCUCCUUUCAUUCUCUUUUUUUUUCUCUUUUCUCUUUCUUCCUGUCUCUCCCUCAGUUUUUGUCUGCCUAAAGUUAACAUAUAUAUAUAUAUAUAUAUAUAUUUUAUUAUAUAUUAUCCUAUGUAUUCUGCCCGAAUGGGCUAUAUAUAUAUAUAUAUAUAUAUAUAUAUAUAUAUAUUAUAUAUAUGUAUAUAUAUAUAUAUAUAUAUGUAUAUAUAUAUAUAUAUAUAGAUAUAGUGUUAUAUUUUAUUUUAUAUAUAUGUAAUUGCUUUGCCCGAAAGGACUAAUAUUCUAUAUAUAUAUAUAUAUAUAUAUUUGUAUUUAUAUUAUAUUAUAUUAUGUUAUACGAAAAGAGGCCAAAAGAAAAAGACAAAAAAGAAUAGUUGCCCAAGUCUCUCUUAACUCUCUUUUCUAGUUUGCCCGACUUCGGGCAUUUUUCUAGUUUACUAUCUCGGUAACCAGUGAGGAUGCUCCUAUGUUUUUUGGUAUCAACAAGAAGGAACACAAGUCAGACAACAUUCUUUUCAAUGCUAGUUGCACUACCAAAUUGCCUUGCUCAUUUUGCCAAGUUUAUCAAUGACAAAAGAAUCGAAGGGGUAGACGUGCAUCUUCCUUUGACAUCAUUCCUGGCAGCAUUGGAGUUGUAAGUUUCACAAAUUUUGCUCAAAUUUGUAAAACUUGGGGGGCACUGUUUGCAUUCAAAAUAUACCCAUUUUUACUUAUUUGGGCAAUUUGGGUAAAAUAUGGUAUUUAAAGGAUUAAUGAGCAAGAAGACUAAUCUGGAGAGAUAUUUGGUGCAAGUGGGAUAGGUUUUACACUAUAAUAUUGUUUCUCCUAUUUGUUUGGGUGGUGGAGGUUUGUCUAGCAUUUGUUUAAUCAAGAUACAUGCAUGUAUUGCAAGUAGAUGGAAAGGCAUCAGCAAGCUUUCGGGCAAGGAACAUGUGAAAGAAGCCAACUUGCUUCUUUUUAAUGUUAGUUUAUUACAAGUGGGAAAACAUGUGAUGAAAGCAUGUGGUGGAAAUGCAAGUUCUCCUUUUAAUAUUAUUUCUCCAUGCAAGUUGGCAAGUAAAAUACAAGCUGCCCAAGCAAUGGAAUACAAGCUGCCCAAGCUUCUUUCGGGCAAGUACAAAAACCUUAGCAGGGGGUUUCUUCCAGACCUCUAUAUAAAGAAACAGAUGGAGAAGGAUUAUGGACACUCAAACAAACAAACAAACACACAAACUCUGCUCAAACCAGAUUUGCCAAAAGCCUUCUUUUAUCUAGUUUAUUAGCUCUGCUGCUCACUUGCGGUAUCGAUCUCAUUUGUAGCUUUUAUGUACUCAUUUUCAGUCAUAUAAAUUACAAGCAAUCUGCAAUAUUAGUCACUUGCCUCUGUCAUUUAUAUUUCCAAGCAACCUUGUCAUUUACAUAUUGUUUUAUCUCUCCAUAUAAGUAAAGUCCUUAUUUUUAAGGCAAACAAAGAACCUUAAUUUGAGCAACUCCCAC
rnacentral:lncRNA from 1 species